UGCCCUGUCCAAUGAGUUUCCUAUUAUAUCUUUUGUGUGUUAAGAAUUUGAACUUCAUGUUUAUUAUAGACUUAAAUUAUCGACACCGAAAUGCCCAAAUGGCAAGCCAAGCAUCGGUUGAGCUCCACACGCUUAUAUACUUCAGGAAAAGAAACUAUCGAACCUUUAGUCUUCUGCCUCGCGCUU